UGUGCAACAUUUUUUGCUGACACUAGAUAUCAAACAAAAGCCAGAGACUAUAUCGUAUUAAGUUGCUGUGAGGUGUAAAUUCACUACUUCUAAGCAGAAGGCAGAAUAUACCGUCAUCUCGGAACCUGACAAGCCCCGGCAAGGCCUCUCUUCUCCGGGCAGGUCUCCUGCUCCAGCUUCCUUGUCUGACUCACCUAGGUUAGCGGCUGUCUCCUCGGCCUAACCCUGGGUGUGCAGCGCUAUCUCCUUCUUUUUGCCAUUUUGUGGUGGGUGGCAACCAGCAUUAAGCUCGGGAUGGGGGAAACACAAGCUCUGCAGUGGAAGGAAAGCGGAAAGCAAAGAAUUAGACUUCACAGAAUGGAUAUCAAGACACCUGAGUAAGUGUGUCAAAAGUGAAGCUCAAAGGAGUAUGAAAUGCUAAAAGCUAAGGUAUGGCUGGCUGCAAAGUGCUAUUGAUCUUUUUUUAUCUUUGGUGUUAAAGAGGAAUGCAUAUC